UACAGAGGGGGCGAGCGUUGUUCGGAAUUACUGGGCGUAAAGGGCGCGUAGGCGGCCCGCUAAGUCGAACGUGAAAUCCCCAGGCUUAACCUGGGAACUGCGUCCGAUACUGGCAGGCUUGAAUCCGGGAGAGGGAUGUGGAAUUCCAGGUGUAGCGGUGAAAUGCGUAGAUAUCUGGAGGAACACCGGUGGCGAAGGCGGAUCUCCGGGCCUUACCUGACGCUGAGGCGCGAAAGCUAGGGGAGCGAACAGG
rnacentral:rRNA from 1 species